rnacentral:tRNA from 1 species
UCCCUGGUGGACUAGUGGUUAGGAAUCGGCGCGCUUACCGCCACGGCCUGGGUUUGUUUCCCGGUCAGGGAA